UACGAAGGGGGCUAGCGUUGUUCGGAAUUACUGGGCGUAAAGCGUGCGCAGGCGGCUAUCCACGUCAGUGGUGAAAGCCCGGAGCUCAACUCCGGAACUGCCAUUGAAACUGUUUAGCUCGAGUACGAGAGAGGUGAGUGGAAUUCCCAGUGUAGAGGUGAAAUUCGUAGAUAUUGGGAAGAACACCGGUGGCGAAGGCGGCUCACUGGCUCGUAACUGACGCUCAUGCACGACAGCGUGGGGAUCAAACAGG
rnacentral:rRNA from 1 species